CACGUAGGGCGCGAGCGUUGUCCGGAAUUACUGGGCGUAAAGCGUGCGCAGGCGGUUCGUUAUGUCCGAUGUGAAAGCCCCGAGCUUAACUUGGGAAUGGCAUUGGAAACUGGCGGGCUGGAGUGCGGCAGAGGGGGGUGGAAUUCCACGUGUAGCAGUGAAAUGCGUAGAGAUGUGGAGGAACACCGACGGCGAAGGCAGCCCCCUGGGCCGACACUGACGCUCAGGCACGAAAGCGUGGGGAGCAAACAGG
rnacentral:rRNA from 1 species